AGCGUACACGGUGGAUGCCCUGGCAGUCAGAGGCGAUGAAGGACGUGCUAAUCUGCGAUAAGCGUCGGUAAGGUGAUAUGAACCGUUAUAACCGGCGAUUUCCGAAUGGGGAAACCCAGUGUGAUUCGUCACACUAUCAUUAACUGAAUCCAUAGGUUAAUGAGGCGAACCGGGGGAACUGAAACAUCUAAGUACCCCGAGGAAAAGAAAUCAACCGAGAUUCCCCCAGUAGCGGCGAGCGAACGGGGAGCAGCCCAGAGCCUGAAUCAGUGUGUGUGUUAGUGGAAGCGUCUGGAAAGGCGCGCGAUACAGGGUGACAGCCCCGUACACAAAAAUGCACAUGCUGUGAGCUCGAUGAGUAGGGCGGGACACGUGGUAUCCUGUCUGAAUAUGGGGGGACCAUCCUCCAAGGCUAAAUACUCCUGACUGACCGAUAGUGAACCAGUACCGUGAGGGAAAGGCGAAAAGAACCCCGGCGAGGGGAGUGAAAAAGAACCUGAAACCGUGUACGUACAAGCAGUGGGAGCACGCUUAGGCGUGUGACUGCGUACCUUUUGUAUAAUGGGUCAGCGACUUAUAUUCUGUAGCAAGGUUAACCGAAUAGGGGAGCCGAAGGGAAACCGAGUCUUAACUGGGCGUUAAGUUGCAGGGUAUAGACCCGAAACCCGGUGAUCUAGCCAUGGGCAGGUUGAAGGUUGGGUAACACUAACUGGAGGACCGAACCGACUAAUGUUGAAAAAUUAGCGGAUGACUUGUGGCUGGGGGUGAAAGGCCAAUCAAACCGGGAGAUAGCUGGUUCUCCCCGAAAGCUAUUUAGGUAGCGCCUCGUGAAUUCAUCUCCGGGGGUAGAGCACUGUUUCGGCAAGGGGGUCAUCCCGACUUACCAACCCGAUGCAAACUGCGAAUACCGGAGAAUGUUAUCACGGGAGACACACGGCGGGUGCUAACGUCCGUCGUGAAGAGGGAAACAACCCAGACCGCCAGCUAAGGUCCCAAAGUCAUGGUUAAGUGGGAAACGAUGUGGGAAGGCCCAGACAGCCAGGAUGUUGGCUUAGAAGCAGCCAUCAUUUAAAGAAAGCGUAAUAGCUCACUGGUCGAGUCGGCCUGCGCGGAAGAUGUAACGGGGCUAAACCAUGCACCGAAGCUGCGGCAGCGACGCUUAUGCGUUGUUGGGUAGGGGAGCGUUCUGUAAGCCUGCGAAGGUGUGCUGUGAGGCAUGCUGGAGGUAUCAGAAGUGCGAAUGCUGACAUAAGUAACGAUAAAGCGGGUGAAAAGCCCGCUCGCCGGAAGACCAAGGGUUCCUGUCCAACGUUAAUCGGGGCAGGGUGAGUCGACCCCUAAGGCGAGGCCGAAAGGCGUAGUCGAUGGGAAACAGGUUAAUAUUCCUGUACUUGGUGUUACUGCGAAGGGGGGACGGAGAAGGCUAUGUUGGCCGGGCGACGGUUGUCCCGGUUUAAGCGUGUAGGCUGGUUUUCCAGGCAAAUCCGGAAAACUAAGGCUGAGGCGUGAUGACGAGGCACUACGGUGCUGAAGCAACAAAUGCCCUGCUUCCAGGAAAAGCCUCUAAGCAUCAGGUAACAUCAAAUCGUACCCCAAACCGACACAGGUGGUCAGGUAGAGAAUACCAAGGCGCUUGAGAGAACUCGGGUGAAGGAACUAGGCAAAAUGGUGCCGUAACUUCGGGAGAAGGCACGCUGAUAUGUAGGUGAAGUCCCUCGCGGAUGGAGCUGAAAUCAGUCGAAGAUACCAGCUGGCUGCAACUGUUUAUUAAAAACACAGCACUGUGCAAACACGAAAGUGGACGUAUACGGUGUGACGCCUGCCCGGUGCCGGAAGGUUAAUUGAUGGGGUUAGCGCAAGCGAAGCUCUUGAUCGAAGCCCCGGUAAACGGCGGCCGUAACUAUAACGGUCCUAAGGUAGCGAAAUUCCUUGUCGGGUAAGUUCCGACCUGCACGAAUGGCGUAAUGAUGGCCAGGCUGUCUCCACCCGAGACUCAGUGAAAUUGAACUCGCUGUGAAGAUGCAGUGUACCCGCGGCAAGACGGAAAGACCCCGUGAACCUUUACUAUAGCUUGACACUGAACAUUGAGCCUUGAUGUGUAGGAUAGGUGGGAGGCUUUGAAGUGUGGACGCCAGUCUGCAUGGAGCCGACCUUGAAAUACCACCCUUUAAUGUUUGAUGUUCUAACGUGGACCCGUAAUCCGGGUUGCGGACAGUGUCUGGUGGGUAGUUUGACUGGGGCGGUCUCCUCCUAAAGAGUAACGGAGGAGCACGAAGGUUGGCUAAUCCUGGUCGGACAUCAGGAGGUUAGUGCAAUGGCAUAAGCCAGCUUGACUGCGAGCGUGACGGCGCGAGCAGGUGCGAAAGCAGGUCAUAGUGAUCCGGUGGUUCUGAAUGGAAGGGCCAUCGCUCAACGGAUAAAAGGUACUCCGGGGAUAACAGGCUGAUACCGCCCAAGAGUUCAUAUCGACGGCGGUGUUUGGCACCUCGAUGUCGGCUCAUCACAUCCUGGGGCUGAAGUAGGUCCCAAGGGUAUGGCUGUUCGCCAUUUAAAGUGGUACGCGAGCUGGGUUUAGAACGUCGUGAGACAGUUCGGUCCCUAUCUGCCGUGGGCGCUGGAGAACUGAGGGGGGCUGCUCCUAGUACGAGAGGACCGGAGUGGACGCAUCACUGGUGUUCGGGUUGUCAUGCCAAUGGCACUGCCCGGUAGCUAAAUGCGGAAGAGAUAAGUGCUGAAAGCAUCUAAGCACGAAACUUGCCCCGAGAUGAGUUCUCCCUGACUCCUUGA
rnacentral:rRNA from 1 species